GGUUAGACCCCGGCAGGCCAGGUUAGACCCAGGCAGGCCAGGAUAGAGCCCGGCAGGCCAGGAUAGAGCCAGGCAGGCCAGGUUAGAGCCAGGAUAGACCCAGGCAGGCCAGGAUAGACCCAGGCAGGCCAGGAUAGACCCAGGCAGGCCAGCUUAGACCCAGUCAGGCCAGGAUAGAGCCAGGCAGGCCAGCUUAGACCCAGGCCAGGUCUCUGUCCUCUGUCUAUGCCUAGAACGUCUAGCACCGAGAGACGUCUUCAUAUCUGGAACACCAGUGCAAUAACUACAAAGAGGAAAAACAAAGCGGAAUAUUCUAAACUUGUAUAUUAUUAUUUCUAAAAUAUUGUAGACUGAAUAUUCACACUUAAAAUGAAGACUUGUUCCCUUUUCAAAAUGUGUUAAGCUUUUUAUUUGCUAGAGCUUGGUUCUUUCUGUACAUUCCGAUAGCACUAUUUCUUGGCGAGCGGUGGGACUGUAGGAUGCUAUAGGUUGGCUGUACGUGCAGACGGAGGGAGGGAGCGUUCUAUGCCAUGAUGACAUCACAUUAUUCUAUAGGUUCCAUGUGUUCUCACGGUUGCCGUCAUUACCUCCUCCCUGUAUAAAUAAAGUUUUGGGUGGUUGAAGCUCUGUUAUUGUUGAUAAUGACCAGCUGUAAAUUAAAUGUAUUCUGUCUUUCUGGCAGCGCUUCCCUACUA